GCGCGCGUGGCGGAAUUGGUAGACGCGCUAGCUUGAGGGGCUAGUGACCGCUUUAGGUCGUGUAAGUUCAAAUCUUAUCGCGCGCACCA
rnacentral:tRNA from 1 species